AGCGAACGCUGGCGGCAGGCCUAACACAUGCAAGUCGAACGGAUCCUUCGGGAUUAGUGGCGGACGGGUGAGUAACACGUGGGAACGUGCCUUUUUGGUUCGGAACAACUCAGGGAAACUUGAGCUAAUACCGAAUGUGCCCUUCGGGGAAGGAUUUAUCGCCAUUAGAGCGGCCCGCGUCUGAUUAGCUAGUUGGUGAGGUAAAGGCUCACCAAGGCUACGAUCAGUAGCUGGUCUGAGAGGAUGAUCAGCCACAUUGGGACUGAGACACGGCCCAAACUCCUACGGGAGGCAGCAGUGGGGAAUCUUGCGCAAUGGGCGAAAGCCUGACGCAGCCAUGCCGCGUGAAUGAUGAAGGUCUUAGGAUUGUAAAUUCUUUCACCGGGGACGAUAAUGACGGUACCCGGAGAAGAAGCCCCCGGCUAACUUCGUGCCAGCCG
rnacentral:rRNA from 1 species